rnacentral:rRNA from 1 species
AUUGAACGCUGGCGGCAUGCUUUACACAUGCAAGUCGAACGGUAACAGGUUAAGCUGACGAGUGGCGAACGGGUGUGUAAUGCAUCGGAACGUGCCCGAUCGUGGGGGAUAACGCAGCGAAAGCUGCGCUAAUACCGCAUACGAUCUGAGGAUGAAAGCGGGGGACCGUAAGGCCUCGCGCGAUCGGAGCGGCCGAUGUCAGAUUAGGUAGUUGGUGGGGUAAAGGCUCACCAAGCCGACGAUCUGUAGCUGGUCUGAGAGGACGACCAGCCACACUGGGACGGAGACACGGCCCAGACUCCUACGGGAGGCAGCAGUGGGGAAUUUUGGACAAUGGGCGCAAGCCUGAUCCAGCAAUGCCGCGUGCAGGAAGAAGGCCUUCGGGUUGUAAACUGCUUUUGUACGGAGCGAAAAGGCUCUCUCUAAUACAGGGGGCUCAUGACGGUACCGUAAGAAUAAGCACCGGCUAACUACGUGCCAGCCGCCGCGGUAAAAC